AAAAAGACAAACCCUGGUUUCCGUGUCCAACGUUUGACCGUCCGUCUUAUUUAAAAAAAUUAUAAAAAAAUAAAAAGACAAGUCACGCAUAAAAUAUUAAUCAUGUUUUAUCAUCUAACAAUAAUGAAAAUACGAAUUAUAAAAAAAUUUCAUAUAAGACGGACAAUCAAAGUUGGACAUGGAAACCCAGGGUUUGUCUUUUU
rnacentral:pre_miRNA from 1 species